AUUGAACGCUGGCGGCAGGCCUAACACAUGCAAGUCGAGCGGAGCGGCGGACGGGUGAGUAAUGCCUAGGAAUCUGCCUGGUAGUGGGGGAUAACGUCCGGAAACGGGCGCUAAUACCGCAUACUAUCAGAUGAGCCUAGGUCGGAUUAGCUAGUUGGUGGGGUAAAGGCCUACCAAGGCGACGAUCCGUAACUGGUCUGAGAGGAUGAUCAGUCACGAGGGAACUCAGAUACGAUCCUGUCCCCUACGUGGUGCAGCAGUGUGGACUAUUGGAAGAUGGGCGAUAUCCUGAUCCCGCCAUGCUGCGUGUGUGAAGUAGUUGUGCGUAUUGUACAGCACUUUCAGUUGGUGGACGUUACCAACAGAAUAAGCACCUGCUAACUUCGUGCCAGCAUCCGCGGUAAUUC
rnacentral:rRNA from 1 species